UAUUCAAUUUUGAAACAUAACCUAAACAUAAGUUUCACAAGUUUUUCAAUGUUUCGUUUUUAUUCCAAAUACUUCUAUAGCAACAAUAUUAGUUUCAGAAAUUUGUGUCUUGUCACCAGUAGAAAGUUUUUACACUCUUGUUCGGAGCAUAAAAUCGGAGAUGAUAUUGCAAAUUCAACUGUAAUAGAUGGAAAAAACACACGGUCCAAUUCUGUUAUUACAGAAACUGGAGAUUUUGAUCCAUCGGAAAACGAUUUUAAAACAAUCAAAAAGAAGAAUAAAACUGCUCUUAAUAAAGCUACCAGUGAAUUGAUCAACUCAAGAGAAUCUCUACGAAAAAUGAAGGAUUUGUUCAAGCGGAGUUUCGAAGAUCAAGCAAGGAAUGGACCAUCGUAUUUAUGCGAUGAAAUUGUAGCACGAAACGUUUGUGAAUCGAUCAAAAGGAACAUGACCUCAACAGACCUUCCCGUUUUGGAAUGCAAUCCAGGUGCUGGAUUUCUCACAAAGGAGCUCAUUGAUGCAGGCAUAAACAAUCUCCAACUCUUUGAACCAAAUUCUAUUUUCUUCUCAUAUUUGACCGAGAAAUUUCCCGGUUUACAAAUUCACAAGAAAAAUGUUUCGAAGCUGUGGAAGCUGUUAUACUUGGAUGGCAUAGAUGGUGGUACUAGAACGGCCGACGUCUUUUCGGGCAUUAAAGCUAGAUCUUGGGAUGAGGAUCCUUCUUAUUGCCUCAUAGCUGCUAUAGACGGUACAAGUUUCGUGAAAUCCUUCAUAAUUGGAACAAUGGUACAAGAAAAUAUGUACCAAUGUGGGAAGCCCGAGUUCUACCUUAUACUAGACCCACUCUCCUAUGCUACAUUAACUAACAGAGGUGAUUUGGGUAACAGGAUCUACACUCCUCUGUCAGUUCAUUUCCAAAAUACGUUCAAUACCGAGCUGCUUUUGAAAAUACCUCGCAACGCAUUUCUGCCCGUUAAAAAGUUGAAGAUUAAUAAAAAGUCAUCUCACUGUAUUCAGCUUGCUAAGGAAGAGGGCGAUUUACUGUAUUUGAUAAAAGUGACGGGUAGACCGGAACUCGCCAGGCUUCGAGAUUUGGAUCAGAUGAGUGCCUUCUACAAUUUUGUGUCACAAGUAUUCAACGUCAGGACUAACCGACUCAUACCGUUUUUAGAACAGUGGAUUCCUGGCUGUGGACCAAAGUUGAUCGCCAAGGGUUACACGGUUUACACUCUGACUGGUGAAUUGAAGCCAGAGGAGGCUUACAGUAUUUUCAUGGACAUUUGUCUACCAUAUGAUGAUGGACUCACGUUUAGUUCUGGCUUGGGAAAUCUGACCUUGAAGAAACCUUCCAACGAGGACCUAGAGGAGUACGAUGACCCUUGAGAGGGAGAGAGAUGAAUUUUGGUGUUUCUAUCUCUCUCGGUGAUCGGGAAACAUGAUGGACGAAACCUAAAAUCGAGACAUAAAACCUAGAUGAAUUUCGGUGUUUCUAUCUCUCUCGGUGAUCGGGAAACUCAAUGGACGUAAUGCUGAAUGGAGGACGUAAAAGUGAACGAAAACUUGGUGAGAACUGAAAAUGUUUCCGUAAACAUAAAACUUGACGGUGAAUGGAAAUUUAAGGCAGAAAACUUGUAGUGGACUGUUUCUAAGAAAGUUAUGUUUAACCUUGAAAGUAUUUCGUUCCAUAGUGAAGUCCACGUUAUAAUGGCAGUGGAGAAAUAUAGGAGAAAAACGUUGUCGAUCCUCUGUCUUGUCAAUGCCUUCUAUAGACGGUUGCUGAUACAGGUUUAUUGAUGUAAUAUUUUAUCGGUUCAUUCUCGUUUAAAAUAGUUAUAUUUUGAUAAUCAUCAUUAAACGAAAAUCCCAAUCAAAUGCUGUAAAUCACCCCGAAGACUUCUGCUACUGCAAUUAAUGACGACAGGGUAAACAGCAUGAUGGAAAUUCGAUGAGCGCUACUAUACAAAAAUUAUUUGUCAGCCCGGAAUCGAACCCAGUACCUCCUAAUUUCCGGUCAGGAAUGCUUACCCUUACGUGUAAGAUAAAACAUUUCUGUUGUGAAUAUUUGCAGUACCUAGCCCGGGAAUCGAACGGUAAGGGUCAGUAAGCAUUCCUGACCGGCAAUUAGGAGGUACUGGGUUCUAUUCCCGGGCUGACAAAUAAUUUUUGUAUAGUAGCGCUCAUCGAAUUCCCAUCUAGCUGUUUACCCUGUUGUCAAUAUUUGCAGAAGCAGAAGUCUUCGGGGUGAUUUACAGCAUUUAAUUGGGAUUUUCGUUUAAUAAUAAUUAUUAAUUAAUUAGCAUUUGAACAAAUGCAACUUCCAAUUUAUUUCCAUCAGUAAUUAUAUUUUAUUAAGCAAGAAAUUAUAUUUUUCAAUCCUUUCAUAAUGAAUUUUCUUAAGUAAGAUGAAAUAUUUUGUUAAUUGAUUAUCAAUUCUACAUUGUUAAAAGACAAUCUGGCAACAGAACAAACCGGGAAAGAGAUAGUGCUAUCCGCUUUGUUUAAUGAUAGAGAAGGAUAGCAAUACCAUUGCUAAUCAAACACUGCCAUUGUAACGUGGACCUCACUAUAAUCAUUCUGACAGAUAUGACCAUAGAGAAACAAUAGCGUAAGUAGAUAUCCCAUGGUAUAGGGCGUUUAUGACGCAACUUUUACUGUUAACUCUAGCCGAUUACUGUCGAUUUUUACUGCUUUGGCCGGAUGUGAGUGUAUGAACGGCACAAUAUGAGAGACUACCAGCUUCACUGGAAAGAACUACGUGGACUAUCGGCUUGAGAUAACUGUAAAAGUUGCGACAUAAAUGCCCUAUACCAUGGGAUAUCUACUUAUGCUAUUGUUUUUCUAUGAUAUGACUUGUUAGUGUGCUUAAUCUUUCAGAUAACAUAUUUCGUAUCCCAUGCAUUCUCUGAGCUUGAAUUACGAAGUUCAUAGGUAUUGAAUCUAUUUUUAUUGUCAUCCCACGCAUAAAUCAAAGACUCAUGUUGGAAUCAUUAAAUAGCUAAAUUAAAUGUAUCACAAAAAAUGUAUUUUCCAACAAAUAAACUUCAUUUCAUUGAUUA
rnacentral:misc_RNA from 1 species